rnacentral:tRNA from 1 species
GACUCUAUAGCUCAGGUGGAUAGAGCAAUGGUUUCCUAAACCAUGUGUCACUGGUUCAACUCCAGUUAGGGUCACCA